AUCCUAUUGGCGAGUCCCAAAUAAGACGAAACGCGCUUCCUGGAU
rfam:Schistosoma rodhaini strain Burundi genome assembly, scaffold: SROB_scaffold0004049